GACGAACGCUGGCGGCGUGCCUAAUACAUGCAAGUCGAGCGAGCGGAACCAACAGAUUUACUUCGGUAAUGACGUUGGGGAAGCGAGCGGCGGAUGGGUGAGUAACACGUGGGGAACCUGCCCCUAAGUCUGGGAUACCAGCCCGAAAGGGUUGCUAAUACCGCAUGAUGCAGCUGGGUUGCAUGACCCUGGCUGCCAAAGAUUUAUCGCUCUGAGAUGGCCUCGCGUCUGAUUAGCUAGUGGGCGGGUAACGGCCCACCUAGGCGACGAUCAGUAGCCGGACUGAGAGGUUGGCCGGCCACAUUGGGACUGAGACACGGCCCAGG
rnacentral:rRNA from 1 species